GCGAGAGUGAGCAUUCCUAGCACUUAAGAGAUCUGGGAGAAGAAACCAGUAACACAUAGGACAGCCAGAGAGGGCUGCGUGGGAAGCAGCGUCCUCAGGACAGGAUGAUGAUUUCAAAGGUGAUCGUUUUGGUGAAGAGGAGAGUGUUGGGAAAAGAAGGAGAAGGGUAGAGACUACUCCAGCUCCUUGAUGGAGAAUGGAUGUGAGGAGUCAGGGAAGAAGUUCAGAGACCAGCUAGGCAGCAACUCCAACAGCGUGGGCAAGAAAUGAUGGAAGCUGGACUACGGAGAGAGAAAGAGAGGUGGAAAGAAAUCUCUGUCUUCAAAACAUUACUGGGAGAUAUAAUCAAAAACAGUAAUA